rnacentral:rRNA from 1 species
CGUGUGGUUCUAUUUUGUUGGUUUCUAGGACCGCCGUAAUGAUUAAUAGGGACAGUCGGGGGCAUCAGUAUUCAAUUGUCAGAGGUGAAAUUCUUGGAUUUAUUGAAGACUAACUACUGCGAAAGCAUUUGCCAAGGAUGUUUUCAUUAAUCAGGAACGAAAGUUAGGGGAUCGAAGACGAUCAGAUACCGUCGUAGUCUUAACCAUAAACUAUGCCGACUAGGGAUCGGACGAUGUUACAUUUUUGACGCGUUCGGCACCUUACGAGAAAUCAAAGUGCUUGGGCUCCAGGGGGAGUAUGGUCGCAAGGCUGAAACUUAAAGAAAUUGACGGAAGGGCACCACCAGGGGUGGAGCCUGCGGCUUAAUUUGACUCAACACGGGGAAACUCACCAGGUCCAGACACAAUGAGGAUUGACAGAUUGAGAGCUCUUUCUUGAUUUUGUGGGUGGUGGUGCAUGGCCGUUCUUAGUUGGUGGAGUGAUUUGUCUGCUUAAUUGCGAUAACGAACGAGACCUUAACCUGCUAAAUAGCCCGUAUUGCUUUGGCAGUACGCCGGCUUCUUAGAGGGACUAUCGGCUCAAGCCGAUGGAAGUUUGAGGCAAUAACAGGUCUGUGAUGCCCUUACAUGUUCUGGGCCGCACGCGCGCUACACUGACGGAGCCAGCGAGUACUCCCUUGGCCGGAAGGCCUGGGUAAUCUUGUUAAACUCCGUCGUGC